CGCCGAUAAUUGCUGGAAAAAUAGCGCGGUCAGGAGAUGCUUUAAGUGUGACAGUACGGAGCACCUGAUUGCACAAUGCUCAAAUAUGCAGACCGAAGGAAGCACUUCUCGGGCAGAAGGGACUACGCCAAAACCAGCAAAUGUAGCAGGGAAUCGACCGAAAGUGCCUGCGCGAGUUUAUGCCAUGGACCAUCAGGAGGUGACUGACCCUUCGGCAGUCAUUGAAGGUACGCUUUCUAUAUUUCGGCGUACCGCAAGUGUGUUAAUAGAUCCUGGUGCUACUCAUUCCUUUGUGAGUCCUGCAUUCAUGGCACAUAUAGAUAUUAAAGCAGAAAAGUUACCAUAUGAUUUAGAAAUAAAGACUCCCAUUACCAACAAGAGCAUCCUUGCCAAUAUGAUGUACAAAGGUUGUGACGUGUGGAUAGGGAAACGAAAGUUAUCCUUGAAUUUAAUAGAAUUAGCACUUAAGGGGUAUGAUCUUAUAUUAGGUAUGGAUUGGUUAGCUAAGUAUCAUGCACGUCUAGACUGUAGUACGAAAAAGGUUGACUUUCACAUACCGGGUGAGCCUACAUUGCAAUUAGAUGUACGAGGGAAGUUAGCCUCCACCACUUUUAUUUCUGGGAUUCGGGCCCGAAAAUUGUUAAGUAAGGGUGCUCGAGGGUUUUUGGCCAUGUUGAUUAAUACUCCCGGAGAGCAAUUAAAAGUAGAAAAUGUGCCGGUGGUGUGUGAGUUUUCCGAGAUGUUUCCCGAAGAGUUGACCUCACUACCGCCGGAAAGAGAAAUCGAAUUUAAAAUCGAUCUGCAACCAGGGGCGGAACCAAUAUCGAAAACCCCUUACCGCAUGGCUCCUACGGAACUGAAGGAAUUAAAAACACAGUUACAAGAAUUGUUGGAUCGAGGAUUUAUUUAGGAAAGUGAAUCUCCUUGGGAGCCCCGGUGCUAUUUGUAAAGAAAAAAGAUGGAGGUUUACGGAUGUGCAUUGAUUACCGGGGACUAAAUAAUCUCACGAUUAAGAACAAAUAUCCCCUGUCAUUGAUUGAUGAAUUGUUUGACCAACUGCAAGGUGCAGUUGUAUUUUCUAAGCUAGAUCUUCGACAAGGAUAUUAUCAAUUGAGGAUCCGGACGGAGGAUAUCCCUAAGACGCGUUUAAUUCGCCGUAUGGGCAUUUUGAAUUUGCAGUCAUGCCCUUUGGAUUGACGAAUGCGCCAGCUGCAUUUAUGGAUUUAAUGCACCGAGUCUUCAAACUUUACCUAGACCAAUUUGUUGUGGUGUUUAUUGACGAUAUUCUGGUCUACUCGAAGACUCGUGAGGAUCAUGAACGGCAUUUGAGGUUAGUGCUACAGACUCUUAAGGAGCACCAAUUGUAUGCUAAAUUUAGUAAGUGCGAGUUCUGGCUGGACAAGGUGUCUUUUCUUGGACACGUGAUUUCAAAGGAUGGAAUAGCGGUGGACCCCGCUAAGGUGAAAGCCGUUACAGAAUGGAAACGGCCUGAGAGCCCAACUGAAGUUAGAAGUUUCUUAGGGCUUGCAGGAUACUAUCGCCGCUUCAUAAAGGACUUUUCUAAGAUAGCUGGACCUCUGACGGACUUGACUAAGAUUCACAAUCAAUUCAUCUGGACUUCAAAGUGCGAUGCCAGUUUUCAAGAGUUAAAAGGGCGAUUAACUUCUGCACCAAUUCUUACUUUGCCCAACGGAAAAGACAGCUUUGUAGUAUAUACGGAUGCGUCACGGUUGGGCUUGGGAUGUGUACUGAUGCAAAAUGGACAAGUGAUAGCCUAUGCAUCCCGAAUAUUGAAACCCCAUGAGCAAAACUACCCGACUCACGACUUGGAAUUGGCGGCAGUAGUAUUUGCUCUUCAGAAGUGGCGACAUUUUUUAUAUGGAAUAACCUUUGAGGUUUUCACCGACCAUAAGAGUCUCAAGUAUUUAUUUUCGCAGAAAGAGCUGAAUUUGAGACAACGGAGAUGGAUGGAAUUCUUGGAGGAUUAUGACUGCACCAUUAAGUGCCAUCCAGGUAAGGCUAAUGUAGUAGCGGAUGCCCUUAGCCGAAAAGCUCAAGUAUCUAGUCUACAGGUGAAAGAGUGGGAGCUACUAGAAAAAGUUGGGGAAUGGAAUCCUCAACUUAAGCCACACAAAGUGUUGUUUAGUAAUAUUCAGGUGAUUUCCACGCUAUUGCCUAGGAUAAAAGAGGCUCAGAAGAAGGACCCCCAGGUGCUAAAGUGGAAGGAAAAAGUCGAGAAAGGAAUGAUACCCGACUUUAAUGUGGGUUCGGAUGGGAUGUUGAGGUAUAGAAACCGGUUGGUUAUACCGCAGGAUGCGGAUAUUAAGAAGGAACUGUUGGAAGAAGGUCACCGCUCGCGGUACACAGUACAUCCUGGUACGACGAAGAUGUAUCAAGAUUUAAAGAGUUUGUACUGGUGGGAUGGCAUGAAAAAGGAAAUCGCUCAGUUUGUGCAAAAGUGUCUAACCUGUCAGCAAAUAAAAGCUGAGCACCAAAAACCAUCAGGAUUACUUCAACCGUUAGAAGUGCCGAAGUGGAAAUGGGAGCACAUUACCAUGGAUUUCGUAUCCGGUUUACCGUGAACACAAAAGGGGCAUAAUGCCAUUUGGGUAAUUGUAGACCGCUUAACCAAAUUAGCUCACUUCCUACCCGUGAACAUGAAGUAUACCCUAGAAAAACUAGCUCAACUGUAUAUGGACGAAAUUAUACGACAACAUGGCGUACCAGUGAGCAUAGUUUCGGAUCAAGAUCCACGAUUCGUGUCACGGUUCUGGCAAAGAAUGCAAGAGGCUUUAGGCUCUAAACUCAAUCUAAGCACAGCCUACCAUCCUCAGACAGAUGGGCAAUCGGAGCGACCAAUACAAACUCUUGAGGAUAUGCUCCGAGCGUGUGUAAUGGACUUUGGGGGAAAUUGGAGCCAACACCUCACAUUGAUAGAAUUCGCAUACAAUAAUAGUUACCACUCCUCCAUACAAAUGGCACCGUAUGAAGCACUAUAUGGACGUAAGUGUCGCUCACCGAUCUUUUGGGAUGAAGUCGGCGAAAGAAAGAUCUUGGAUUCGACUACGGUGCCAUGGAUAGAAGAAGCAGUAAAGAAAGUUAAAAUUAGUCACCAGAGAAUGCAGACGGCUCAGAGUCGGCAGAAGAGUUACGCCGAUCACCGAAGAAAGGAUCUGGAGUUCGAAGAGGGAGACAUGGUAUUUCUCAAGGUAACACCACUCCGAUGAACGAUUGCGGCCAAGAAAGGGAAGAAGUUGAAGCCUCGAUAUAUAGGGCCGUAUAGGAUUCAAAGCCAAGUCGGGACAGUGGCGUAUCAGUUAGAGUUACCUGUUAAAAUGUCCCGAAUCCACAAUGUCUUCCACGUCUCGUUAUUGAAGAAGUAUCAUUCAGAUCCCGCACACAUCCUACACACAGAGGACGUUGAGUUAGACGAAACCCUCACCUAUGGAGAACAGCCGGUACAAAUUUUGGAUCGAAAGGUGAAAGAACUAAGGAAUAAACGGAUAUUUUUGGUAAAGAUUAUAUGAAAAAAUCAUGAUGUGGAGGAAGCCACCUGGGAAGUGGAGGAAGACAUGCAGAAGGAAUAUCCUUCUUUGUUCACAAACAAAGGUAUUAAUUUCGAGGACGAAAUUCCUCUAAGAAGGGGAGGUUAUGAGAUCCCGAUUAGCCUUUGAUUUCAAUAUUAUGUGAUAUUAAGGGCAUUUUGUUCUAUUUUGUACGAAUUUAGUAGAAAAAUCUAGUUUUCUUUUUGUAUUGUGAUAACUCGAGAAAAAAUUACAUGUAUGUUAUGAAUUCUUUUAUUUUAAGUGCUUAGAUAUUAGAAAAUUACAUGUAACAAAUGAAUGGUUAAAAUAAAUGCAUAAUUGAAUUUCUAUAACAGAUUGAAAAUUUAAACACCACUUGAGUUAUGCAAAAUCCUAGCUACAAAUCCACUCUUACUACCCGAGCUUUAGGUCCCAAUUUGAUGCUCAUUCACCUAGCAAAAUAUGCUAGAAAACUUGUGGGGAGCAAAGAUGACACCCGUUUAAGAUUCAAGGACCAAAACAAUGAAUACCGAAAUUGCACUUCGGCCCUUUACAAUAUUUAGCCAAAAAAAAAAAAGAAGAACUGCCUGGAACACUGGGCAGUUCUGACAGGUACUUUGGCACCCACUUUUCGUUUGGUUCUGAGUUGACCCAAGUCUUGGCCAAAACAUAAAAGUUUUACCCUUAUGUCUUAGAUUUCCAAUGCCUUUGGAAUUUCUUGAUUUGGGUCUGUGAGUUGUGAGUUAUGGUUCUUCCACUAGACCCUGUCUGUCAUCUAAACGUGCGAACUCCGGGCACGUUGUUUCAUACUUAUGACCUGAUUCCGUUCAGAACUGGAUUGAGGUGUCUUCAUGAAAGUUAUAUCUUUUCUCCUUAGCUUCGCGACGGUAUCUCAUACGUCUCAAUCCGACAAUCGUAACCUACAUUGUGUUCAAAACAGUUCUUGACGCCAAAACGGACAAGUUGCCGUUUCCGUUUCCGUUAACAUUUCCGUUUCCGUUUUCCAUUUCCGCGCGCGCAUGGGUCGUAUUUGCUGUUUUCCUUAUUCGUAUGCAUUCGGAUACCUGUUUGAGCAAUGUUAUGACUCAACCUUCUGUCACAGACGGUAACGAAGUGCUCGGAGACAAUGGGACCCACUGACGGUUGAGUUUGACCAAGUGCCGUUUUUGUCUACUUUUGUACUCUAAGUAAGUAACUGGGACGUUUAUGUGUUAAAUGUCACCAAUAUGAAUUGUGUGUGAUAUAAGGGUGUUUAGGCAAGCGUGUACUUUAUCUCACUCGACCUAAACCCUAAUUUAUAUUUGCAAUAGAUAUGAAUUAUGAUAUAUGAACUGUGUUGGGACUGAAUCCCUGAAGCAUGUGGCUUGGGAUGACCUUUUGUGUGUGUGUGAUGUGGAACUAUGAGUGGGCCCGAUCUAAAGGCUAGACGGACUAUUCGAGCCAGUUAGGGCUUGGUCGAAAUUAGUCCAAGCUAUCCUUAAGAUCACCAAUUUUGUGAAUACAAUUCGAAUACGAUUCGAAGCUCGAGCCAUUUGUGUGUGUGUGGAUACUGGCCAGAGUGGGCGUAAGGUGGUCGGAGGAAGAAAGUGGAGUUCUACGGACCAUUCCUUGUGGUCGACGGAGGGUCGACAGGUGAUCACGCGUGGCGAAUGACUUGGCUUUGGAGCCAAUCUGUAUCCUUGAAUUGUUUUGUUACUUUUGCUUUUAUUUUGAUGUAUUUGUGGCAUAAAUGUCUGACUUGAUGCAAAAUUACCAUUUUGCCCCUGCUUGCUUACUAAGCUUUAAGCUUACCCGUUUUUCUUUGUUAUUUCCUUAGCAGGGGUCGUACGCGGGGAUCACACUUCACGAGAGUUAUAACCCUAGAAUUUACCUUUGAAAUUAUACUAGUUGGACUUUCUAGGAUGUUUUUCUUUAUUCUCACAGUUAGGGUUAGGACUCUGCGUAAGAUCCACUUUGUGGUUUUAGUCUUCGCUUUUGUGUGAUGUAGUGGACUGGAAUGUCCCUUUUGAAGAUGUACAUAUUGUAAAUGGUACUUUUUGGAGAUGUAUAAAUGCGAAUAGUAUCUUUUGGUAUUUUGUUUCUUUUAUUGGACAAAUUUAUGAUUGGAGAUGUACUUAAGAGUGAAUGUUUAGUUGUCCAAUAGUAAUGUUAUCUCUGAAGGUAAUGUGAGUG
rnacentral:lncRNA from 1 species